AUGAUCACUUUGGCAGCACAUAUACUAAAACUGGAACAAUACAGAGAAGAUUAGCAUGGCCCCUGCACAAAGUUGACACCACUGGGAAGUUAUUUCUUGAGCAUGUCU